AAUUCAUAGCAUCCAUUAUUCUAUCCACUCAAUCCAUGGGUAGAGGACUACAAAAAUGUAUGAUUUUUGGUCUCUAUGUAUUUUUUGUACUAGAGUUUGUGAUCAAUGGUGUGGAUCCUCAACUAGGAGGGUCCAUCAUCGAUUUCAAAUAUUUAAAUCUUUUACCAAGAUUUAGUGUUUCAUGUGUAGCCUAAGCCAGUAGGAAAUAUCUGUGAAAGUUCUGAAAGUCAAAAUCUCGUUGAUAUACCCACUUCGGGUAGAGCACGUUGGAUUUACUUCUUUAGAAACUUGAAGAGUAUCCUUGAUAGAUUGGUCUUGCUUUUCAGAGAUGUUAAUGAGUGCCCA
rnacentral:lncRNA from 1 species